rnacentral:misc_RNA from 1 species
UCGUAGAGCUAUCGGCUCUUUCGAGGGAGAAACCCUUGCCUUUUUCGAGCACCUGUUUGUUUCCUCGGCAGGCCCGCCUGCCAAUGGGGACCUUUUUAAAACCCUUGCGAUAACCUGAACAAAAAUCGUCUGAACAAAAAAAAAAAUCUAAAUCA